rnacentral:lncRNA from 1 species
UUUCCCAUAUGCUUUUGAAAACUCCGUUUUAUUCAUUUGCAAAAGCUGAGGCUUCCCCGUAUUAGCGCUUGGCUAUGGGAUGUGUAGGGACGAGCGAACGGGUGCUACCCCGUGUGUAGGGUCGGGCCGCCUGGCCCAGGUCUGGGGGAUCUAUCAAGUGUGGAUAGGAAGGCGAUAGCUUUCAUUUGCGUUAAUUCAUGAAACACGUGCGUGCAAGAUCAACACCGCAACAUAUUAAGGCUCAGAUUCAAACCGGGUUUCCUUUUUCUCAUUGAAAAUAUGACUGCCGAGUCCAUACCGUGACAAUGAAAAGGACUAUUAGAGUCGAUGAAACUGUUGAUCGUGAGAUACUUGGACGAUCUCUGGCGGGAAUGUCAUUUCACUCUACCCAUCUUGAAGCAAGUUUGCCGCGCCCGUACUCUCGUCAAGCGUUGCUGACGGGAGAGAGUGAAGCGCUUGUCGAUAUGAAAGCUUGUUCACUCUUGCGUGGCUUGUGUUAAUAUUUAGGUCAUCGGUCUUAGAUGCGAAUCGUCCGACAUAUUGGCAGGCGAAGAGCUGAUUCGCUCCGUCAGUCCGCCGGCCUGAGAGCACCAGGCAGCAUGGGAGACCGCACUAGAACACAGACGGAACUCGCCGGGACUGGACGUGCCCUGUCCACUUCUGGUCACCGUUAGGUGGAUGCUGGGCGGACAGGAAAAUGAGAUGGGGCGAGAACGAGACCAGGAUGAUGGACGUCAGCAAUAUCGUCAAGGCAUGAGGUGCAAUUCGUCCGGACAUACCGACUGUCCUCCAGUUACCAAGGCAACUAACUCAACAAAUCUAAAUUUCUCAUAAACUGGUGGGGCUUUUUUCUGUGUUGAGACUGUUAGAAGUGAGCGGAGAGGUGAACAGCGGGCGAGAACAUUAAGUCCUGAGUCCAUUGUCUCCUCCCAACUGGACAACAUUGGUUGUGGGCCGGGAUAUCUCAACACACCACACAUAAUGCUGGACCUACUUGGAUUAUUGCUCGCGGUGUUUUUGUCCUCAUGUGAUUUCACCUGUGAUGCGAAAACACUCGCCAGAUAACACCCUGCAUUUGGUCAUAGUGGAGUUUACCGUGCUGCCCCCCGGAACAUGGCCCAACCCUCAGGGACCUGCCUCCCACUCACGGGCACCUGCUUUAUCACUUCGACGGAUGUCCAGUUCCUGGAAACUGUGGUCAAGACGAAGGCUCUGUUUAUGUCUUUGGUUAUCUAGCUGUAUGAUUGUUGUUGAAAUAUCAUAAAGCUAGGUUACCAAAGGCAAAAAUGGUAGCCAUAUUCAGCAACAGAUUACGGAGGAACAGGUGUGUUUAUUUAAAUCAUUUUUCAUUUCCAUAGAAUAUUUAAAAUAUGUAUAUAUUCGAGUGCUUUUCUAAAUAUUCUGAAUUAAUUCAAAACAAUUUAGGCAAAAAUAUUUUAUUUGGCUUUACUUAAUUGAUUCACAAUUAAUUUUAUCGAAAUUCAGAAAAUGUAAGUUUUUUGUCCGUGUUUUUAUACGAGAAGAUUUAAGAAAUGAUAACGAUAAAUUACAUUUUAAAUUAGUUUUUGUUUUACAUAAAUUUUACGUAUUUCUGUAUUAUCGUUUUGAUAACAAAUUAUAAUGAAUAAAUUUCUUAUUGACUAUA